CUAGCUUUUUAUGAGUUUUGACUUAUCGGGGUUAUUUGUUGAAGUGAAAAUUCAUAGUAAAUUUCAAAUUUAAGGCUGAAAUAGUCUUACCAAAAAAAUUCCCUGAGUCAGCUUUGCUCGUGCUUCUUUGCCUAAAAUUUAAAAUUCACUUUGAUUUCUCACUAUAGGUAAUAACCCUGUUUGUGCGCAACUAAUAUGCUUUGCAUCCAAAUAAACUCUGUCUACCUUUUAUCACUAUUUCUUAAAGGUUUUCCAAGUAAUUGUAUUGUAUUGGACAGAGGAUGAAUUUUAGAAUAAUGAAUUGGGAGAUAAUUAUUAUAACGAUCAUUGUUUCAGAUCAUGACUAUGUGCAAUACCAAAAGAAGGAAAUCCUUGCAUGGAAAUAUUCCAUAUUUAAAAGAACCGUACACAGACUCUAAAGGUAAUUAUUACCUACUAGAAUCCAUGAUAAAAUUCACAUUGGUGAAAUACACAGUUUGGUACCAACAGGAAGUAUUUAAUAUUGGCCUCGAUUUAAG